GAAAACUAACUUUAUAACACAGAGACUAUAGAAGACUUUCAAAGUCAAUGAUGACAAAAUUACCUUUUGAAACUGGAAACUGUAGAUAACAACAGAGCAAGGACAUCCUGUGUGGUAUCUGAUUCCUUCCCAGGAGAUGUUCUUGCCCUCUCCCCGUAUAAUUAGCCUUCGUCUCCUCUCUUAGCCUGUUUUCUGCCCCUUAUAUAGUAUUUCUUUAUAAGGUCUUGCCUUGAAAUUACUUGUGAACAUCUUUCUUUCCUUGGUUCUGAGACUCUUGAAGAUGUGUUCAGAUCAUAAUUUAUCCCCUGUGCCCAGUCCACGUCCCUACACACAAGACUUGAGGGAAUAAAUGACAAUAAGCUAAAUUAACAGUGACAGGAAAUUAUUUAUAUUGAAUAUCUAUAAUAAGUCAAAUACCUGUGUACUGACUACUGACUUAAUCCUCAUAAAAGGUAUGAUAAAAUUGUUUCCAUUUUAUAGAUGAGGAAAUGAGGGAUCAAUAAGAUUGUCCAAGGUCACAUAUAUCACUACCGGUUGGAAAGAAGUGCGGCUAGGCAUUGAAAGAUGGAGAAAGUGAAAAAGACGAAGAAAGGAAUGCAAGACAUUUCAAGGUACAUUCCCCACCAUCGGAGUCACCAGAAAAGACCUGUGUGUCCUGGAGACAAGAUAGCAAAGGGUAAACAGAGGUAAAAGAGAAACUCAGCAGGACGUUUGUG
rnacentral:lncRNA from 1 species